AGUCGAGCGGACAGAUGGGAGCUUGCUCCCUGAUGUUAGCGGCGGACCCGUGAGUAACACGUGGGUAACCUGCCUGUAAGACUGGGAUAACUCCGGGAAACCGGGGCUAAUACCGGAUACUUGUUUGAACCGCAUGGUUCAAACAUAAAAGGUGGCUUCGGCUACCACUUACAGAUGGACCCGCGGCGCAUUAGCUAGUUGGUGAGGUAAUGGCUCACCAAGGCAACGAUGCGUAGCCGACCUGAGAGGGUGAUCGGCCACACUGGGACUGAGACACGGCCCAGACUCCUACGGGAGGCAGCAGUAGGGAAUCUUCCGCAAUGGACGAAAGUCUGACGGAGCAACGCCGCGUGAGUGAUGAAGGUUUUCGGAUCGUAAAGCUCUGUUGUUAGGGAAGAACAAGUGCCGUUCAAAUAGGGCGGCACCUUGACGGUACCUAACCAGAAAGCCACGGCUAACUACGUGCCAGCAGCCGCGGUAAUACGUAGGUGGCAAGCGUUGUCCGGAAUUAUUGGGCGUAAAGGGCUCGCAGGCGGUUUCUUAAGUCUGAUGUGAAAGCCCCCGGCUCAACCGGGGAGGGUCAUUGGAAACUGGGGAACUUGAGUGCAGAAGAGGAGAGUGGAAUUCCACGUGUAGCGGUGAAAUGCGU
rnacentral:rRNA from 1 species